GAUGAACGCUAGCGGCAGGCCUAAUACAUGCAAGUCGGACGGUAUUCCCCCUUCGGGGGGGAGAGAGUGGCGCACGGGUGCGUAACGCGUAUGCAACCUGCCCCUUACUGGGGGAUAGCC
rnacentral:rRNA from 1 species